UACGUAGGGUGCAAGCGUUAAUCGGAAUUAUUGGGCGUAAAGAGCUCGUAGGCGGUUCGUCGCGUCGGCUGUGAAAUCCCGGAGCUCAACUCCGGGUCUGCAGUCGAUACGGGCGGACUUGAGUACUGCAGGGGAGACUGGAAUUCCUGGUGUAGCGGUGAAAUGCGCAGAUAUCAGGAGGAACACCGGUGGCGAAGGCGGGUCUCUGGGGCAGUAACUGACGCUGAGGAGCGAAAAGCGUGGGGAGCGAACAGG
rnacentral:rRNA from 1 species